rnacentral:rRNA from 1 species
CCUACGGGGGGCAGCAGUGGGGAAUAUUGGGCAAUGGGCGCAAGCCUGACCCAGCAACGCCGCGUGAAGGAAGAAGGCUUUCGGGUUGUAAACUUCUUUUGUCAGGGAAGAGUAGAAGACGGUACCUGACGAAUAAGCCACGACUAAAUACGUGCCAGCAGCCGCGGUAAUACGUAGGUGGCAAGCGUUGUCCGGAUUUCCUGGGUGUAAAGGGCGUGUAGCCGGGUUGACAAGUCAGAUGUGAAAUCCUGCGGCUUAACCGCCGAACUGCAUUUGAAACUGUUGAUCUUGAGUACUGGAGAGGCAGAUGGAAUUCCUAGUGUAGCGGUGAAAUGCGUAGAUAUUAGGAGGAACACCAGUGGCGAAGGCGGUCUGCUGGACAGCAACUGACGGUGAGGCGCGAAAGCGUGGGGAGCAAACAGGAUUAGAUACCCGGGUAGUC